rnacentral:tRNA from 1 species
GGUGGGAUGCGGGAGUGGUUUAUCCGGAUGGUCUUGAAAACCAUUGUGGCAGCAAUGCCGCCGUGAGUUCGAAUCUCACUCCCACCG